CAAGUCGAACGAGAAAGCCGGGGCAACCUGGUGAGUACAGUGGCGUACGGGUGAGUAACACGUGGGUGAUCUGCCCUUUGGUGGGGAAUAACCCUGGGAAACCGGGGCUAAUACCGCAUAAGUCCGGGAGGAGAAAGUCGCAAGACGCCGAAGGAGGAGCCCGCGGCCGAUUAGCUAGUUGGAGGGGUAAAAGCCCACCAAGGCAAAGAUCGGUAGCCGGCCUGAGAGGGCACACGGCCACACUGGCACUGAAACACGGGCCAGACUCCUACGGGAGGCAGCAGUGGGGAAUCUUGCACAAUGGGGGAAACCCUGAUGCAGCGACGCCGCGUGAGCGAUGAAGCCCUUCGGGGUGUAAAGCUCUUUCGGCAGGGAAGAUGAUGACGGUACCUGCAGAAGCAGCUGCGGCUAACUACGUGCCAGCAGCCGCGGUAAUACGUAGGCAGCGAGCGUUGUUCGGAGUUACUGGGCGUAAAGGGUGUGUAGGCGGUGGCUUAAGUUUGGUGUGAAAUCUCCCGGCUCAACUGGGAGGGUGCGCCGAAUACUGAGUUGCUCGAGUGCGGGAGAGGAGAGUGGAAUUCCUGGUGUAGCGGUGAAAUGCGUAGAUAUCAGGAGGAACACCGGUGGUGUAGACGGCUCUCUGGACCGUAACUGACGCUGAGACACGAAAGCGUGGGUAGCAAACAGGAUUAGAUACCCUGGUAGUCCACGCCCUAAACGAUGCACAUUUGGUGUGGGCAGUUCAUUCUGUCCGUGCCGGAGCUAACGCGUUAAAUGUGCCGCCUGGGGAGUACAGUCGCAAGGCUGAAACUCAAAGGAAUUGACGGGGGCCCGCACAA
rnacentral:rRNA from 1 species